rnacentral:antisense_RNA from 1 species
GAUGCCUGAUCUCAUCAAUCUAGCGGGAGAGACAGGAUAACCUGUCCGAGAGUAUAGCGCCACUAUGACUCCGCCGGAAAAAUUACUUUAAAAAUCGCCAAAAAUUACUUGGAGCAAAGGGCAGUCGGCGGAGCUUCGCCAAGGCUGGCGCAGUCGGUUUUGACCUGUAGCAGAGAACCAAUUCUGGAGAACAGCCUCACUUCUUUGAUUGAAUACUCACAUAAUGCACUGGAACAUGACAUGAGAUUAAGGUUUAAUAAUGAUAGAAUGAAGACCGCAAUAAAAGAGACCUCUACUUAGCUCAGCAAUUCUUACCUUUCUUACCUAUUUGAUGAAGAUGUCUUUUGAAAGGUGUACUGCAAGGAACAAAAUGUUUGUAAAUUCUGCUUUUACCAAGGUAAAGAUCAAAUUUUAUAAAUUUACUUGUUUGUUUAUACAAGGAAAAAUAACUUCAUAUAUUGAAUAUAUUCAAAAGUUUAAGCAUUUAGUUGUAUUGCCCUGUUAAGUUGGCAUAGCAAAUAAAUGCUUUUCUUUUCCUCAUUUUAUUCUUUGUGUUUCCUAACCUAUAGCACUGUGCUGGGCACAGAAUGGACUUCAGUUAAGUUUUUGAUGUAGAAAUGUUUUAUUAUUCUACUUAAAAUCUCCUUAAAAAUAAUUAUGCAUAUUACAUCAAUGUUAUAAUGUUUAAACAUAGAUUUUUUUACAUGCAUUCUUUUUUUCCUGAAAGAAAAUAUUUUUUAUAUUCUUUAGGCACGAAUGUGUGUUUAAAAAAAAUAAAACCUUGGAGUAAA